UACGUAGGGUGCAAGCGUUGUCCGGAAUUAUUGGGCGUAAAGAGCUCGUAGGCGGUCUGUCGCGUCGGCUGUGAAAACUCAGGGCUUAACCCUGAGCUUGCAGUGGGUACGGGCAGACUUGAGUGCGGUAGGGGAGACUGGAAUUCCUGGUGUAGCGGUGAAAUGCGCAGAUAUCAGGAGGAACACCGGUGGCGAAGGCGGGUCUCUGGGCCGUAACUGACGCUGAGGAGCGAAAGCAUGGGGAGCGAACAGG
rnacentral:rRNA from 1 species